rnacentral:rRNA from 1 species
CUACGGGAGGCAGCAGUGAGGAAUAUUGGUCAAUGGGCGAUGGCCUGAACCAGCCAAGUAGCGUGAAGGAUGACUGCCCUAUGGGUUGUAAACUUCUUUUAUAAAGGAAUAAAGUCGGGUAUGCAUACCCGUUUGCAUGUACUUUAUGAAUAAAGAUCGGCUAACUCCGUGCCAGCAGCCGCGGUAAUACGGAGGAUCCGAGCGUUAUCCGGAUUUAUUGGGUUUAAAGGGAGCGUAGAUGGAUGUUUAAGUCAGUUGUGAAAGUUUGCGGCUCAACCGUAAAAUUGCAGUUGAUACUGGAUGUCUUGAGUGCAGUUGAGGCAGGCGGAAUUCGUGG